rnacentral:rRNA from 1 species
CCAAUAGCGUAUAUUAAAGUUGUUGCAGUUAAAAAGCUCGUAGUUGAAUUUCGGAAUCGACGGAUUGGUCGCGCCUUCGGUGUGUACUGGUCUUGCCGGUUUCUCCCUUCUGACGAACCACGAUGUCAUUAAUUUGGUGUCGUGGGAAAUCAGGACUGUUACUUUGAAAAAAUUAGAGUGUUUAAAGCAGGCAUUAGCUUGAAUACAUUAGCAUGGAAUAAUGAAAUAGGACGUUUGAUCUUAUUUUGUUGGUUUCUAGGAUCGACGUAAUGAUUAAUAGGGAUAGUUGGGGGCAUUAGUAUUCAAUUGUCAGAGGUGAAAUUCUUGGAUUUAUUGAAGACUAACUACUGCGAAAGCAUUUGCCAAGGAUGUUUUCAUUAAUCAAGAACGAAAGUUAGGGGAUCGAAGACGAUCAGAUACCGUCGUAGUCUUAACCAUAAACUAUGCCGACUAGGGAUCGGAUGAUGUUAAUUUUUUAAUGACUCAUUCGGCGCCUUACG